CUUCGGCAGGGGUUCGGCCCAGAUCACGUUUCUUUUCCCGGUGCAGCUGAUGUUGAAGACGGAGUUGGGCUGCAGGAUGAACUCCUCCUCAUUGGACACGAUGGUUGGUGGCGACAGUCCGGAGGUAACUGAAAGAGAGGUCGGACUUGUUGAUGCAGCAGACGGGUGGAGAUCUCCCCGGUUCCAUCAGCGCAUCAGGAAACUGGAGGUGAUGAUGUAUAGAUAAAAACAGAAAGAACAGGGUCCAUGUUAAUGAGCACCAUCAUAAAUCACACUGUGGAUUUCUUCUCAACGUCUGGCGGACACAUC